rnacentral:lncRNA from 1 species
AAGCAAUCUCACCGAUUUUUAGUAGCCAGCCAAUUCUGAACUUACAUAUUUAUUGUUUUCUUUGCAUGCCAAUUUUCUUAUAAGAUCUGGAGCCUGCAAAGUAGGAAAAACCACACGUCGAUGGGUUGAAAUCGAAAUGGCAGAGCAGUAGCCCAGAGGCCUGGCCUUGGUGAGGGACUCAUGCAGACAAUAUGGCCGGAUGGGCUCCGGCCUCUGUGGGGCCUGCACCACGGCCCAGGUGCUGUCAGCCAGGUGAGUGGUGCCUUGGCGUUGUGGCCUUCCUGGCACAUCACUCAUGUCCCCUCACAGCUCUUCACUGGAUGGGUGACGACCAAAAUCUUUGCAUCCGCUGCCACAGCAGCCAUGUCCUCCACUUCAGCGCUCACCCUGCUCGGCUAUGCAGCUCUCACAGCCCUCCUUGGGGGCUUUGCCCUGACCUGGUUGGUGAUCCUCACCUCCUUCCAAAACCUACAGAAGUGUUUGGUUUUUAAGGAUGAAGUCCAAAAGCUAUUUUGUUUGUUUUUUAGGGAUGAAGUCAGCUUUGGAGGAGGCGAUGCCGUGCUCAAAUUGGGCAAAAGCAAAUCUCCCUGGGAGCCACAGAUGGAGAAGACAUGAAGACAAAAUCUUGGAGCACACAUUUUAAAUGUACCCAGGCCCCCUCUCCCAUAUUACAUCGCUGACAAAAUUCUUGGAUAACAUUAGUCUGACGGCAAAAUGUAUAAAAUAGAAUUGAUUAUUAAUUCAUAAAGAGCUUUGAUAUCUUAUCUAUUGCUCAUCUCUUGUAAUGAUUUUUAAUGUCAUCAUGGUUUUUAAUUUUGCAUGAAACCCAU